AUGAACUCCUCCUCGGCCCCGGGCCCGGAUGGACUGCCGGUUUUGUUCUUUAAAACAUUCUGGCAGACCAUUAAGCCGGAGGUCAUGGCCCUCUUCGGUGAGUUCUUCUCUGGGACCAUGGACCUGGGGCGCCUGAACUAUGGGAUCAUUACUCUCAUCCCUAAAGUCCCUGGGGCCUCGGACAUCCGCCAGUUUCGUCCCAUCACCAUGAUCAACGUGAUCUUCAGGAUCCUGGCCAAGGGGUACGCCAAUAGGGUGACCCUGCUUGCAGAUUCUAUUACCCACCCCAACCAGUCUGCCUUCAUACAAGGCCGAUAUAUUUUGGAUGGGGUGUUAGUCUUCCACGAAGUCCUCCACGAAGUUCGAGCGAAACACCUCCGCGCGGUGUUCCUUAAACUCGACUUCCACAAGGCCUACGACACGGUUCACUGGCCCUUCCUUUGGGAAGUUUUGCUUCGGAAAGGCUUCGACGACCGUUGGGUGACACGGGUUAUGCAACUCGUCACCUGCGGCCGGACGGCGGUCAACAUUAACGGUGAGAUCGGGCCCUACUUCCCCACCUUAUGCGGGGUGCGCCAAGGAGACCCGUUCUCCCCGUUUCUCUUUAACAUGGUGGUCGAUGCCCUUGCUGUCAUCCUGGAUAAGGCCAAGGCCUGCGGCCAUAUUCGGGGCAUGGUUCCUCACCUUGUUGGUGCGGGAGGGGUCUCCCUCCUCCAGUAUGCGGACGACACCAUUAUCAUGGUUGAAGGCUCCACUUCCGACAUCGCCAACCUGAAGUUCCUUCUUCUAUGCUUCCAACAAAUGUCCGGACUCACCAUUAACUUCGACAAGAGCGAAGUGAUGGUCCUUGGCUACAACCCAGACGAAGCCUUGUCCAUUGCUGACCGGCUUAACUGCCGCCUGAGCACCUUCCCCACCACUUACUUGGGGGUGCCCAUUAGUGACUCCAGACUCACCGUCGCGGAUCUUCGACCGACGGUGACUAGGAUGCAGCACAGGGUUGAACCCUGGAGGGGCCGCUGGCUGUCGAAGGCCGCCAGGGUGAUCCUUAUCAAUUCCUCGCUGGCGAGCCUCCUCUGGUUCCUCUUGAGCUUCUACUGCCUUCAUGAGACCCUCCACUAG
rnacentral:rRNA from 1 species